rnacentral:rRNA from 1 species
GAUGAACGCUGGCGGCGUGCUUAACACAUGCAAGUCGAACGAUGAAGCCCAGCUUGCUGGGUGGAUUAGUGGCGAACGGGUGAGUAACACGUGAGUAACCUGCCCUUGACUCUGGGAUAAGCCCGGGAAACUGGGUCUAAUACCGGAUAGGAGCGCCUGUCGCAUGACGGGUGUUGGAAAGAUUUUUCGGUCAUGGAUGGACUCGCGGCCUAUCAGCUUGUUGGUGAGGUAAUGGCUCACCAAGGCGACGACGGGUAGCCGGCCUGAGAGGGUGACCGGCCACACUGGGAAUGAGACACGGCCCAGACUCCUACGGGAGGCAGCAGUGGGGAAUAUUGCACAAUGGGCGGAAGCCUGAUGCAGCGACGCCGCGUGAGGGAUGACGGCCUUCGGGUUGUAAACCUCUUUCAGUAGGGAAGAAGCGAAAGUGACGGUACCUGCAGAAGAAGCACCGGCUAACUACGUG